GAUGAACGCUGGCGGCGUGCCUAAUACAUGCAAGUCGAGCGAACGGACGAGAAGCUUGCUUCUCUGAUGUUAGCGGCGGACGGGUGAGUGACACGUGGAUAACCUACCUAUAAGACUGGGAUAACUUCGGGAAACCGGAGCUAAUACCGGAUAAUAUUUUGAACCGCAUGGUUCAAAAGUGAAAGACGGUCUUGCUGUCACUUAUAGAUGGAUCCGCGCUGCAUUAGCUAGUUGGUAAGGUAACGGCUUACCAAGGCAACGAUGCAUAGCCGACCUGAGAGGGUGAUCGGCCACACUGGAACUGAGACACGGUCCAGACUCCUACGGGAGGCACCAGUAAAGAAUCUUCCUCAAUGGUCAAAAGCCUUACGCACCAACGCCCCGUGAGUGAUGAAGGUCUUCGGAUCGUAAAACUCUGUUAUUAGGGAAGAACAUAUGUGUAAGUAACUGUCCACAUCUUAACGGUACCUAAUCAGAAAGCCACGGCUAACUACGUG
rnacentral:rRNA from 1 species